rnacentral:lncRNA from 1 species
ACUCCAUAAUAUCUAACAACUCCAUUCAAACUCCAAAUGCUCAAGAAGAGCAUUUUGUUAUUAUAUGUUUCACACACACACAUAUAUAUAUAUAUGGUUAAGUAGAACACUUUGCUGUUGCUCCAUGUACACUCUAGCAGUGGGCAGCAUUAGGGAAUUUGCACUUUUUUGGAAGUUGCAAUGCAAGGUUGGGGUCAAUUCCCAUGGAAGGCAGCAGUUUGGAGUUUCGGUAGGAGCAGAGGCAGUGCAUAUCGGCGUGGGAAAGCGCUGAGCAGCACGCGGCCGAAGGUGGAGCAGGGUUUGGAGGAGAAACCGCUGGCUUGCAUGCCAUCAGACCCUCCCCGGACAUGUUGCAUAU